CAUGUGGAUUGCAUCACGUUGCGUCAUUACAAACCUAAUAUGUUACUUAUUCUGUGACGUGUUGUUACUACCUUAAAGUGAUUUUAUUUGCUUACAUGAAUUGCAAAAACAAUACAAAGUGAACAACAAACAUAGUAAAAGCAACACAAAAGAACUACCAUAGAUUAAUUGAGAUCAUUUUUCAUUUUUAUGCACUAAACGAUAUUCAGCAACACAUAAUGCAAAUGUCCUGUGCUACUGUAAGGGAGUGAAAUAUCAUAGGCGAGUCGAGGCAAUCCGGCAUCCGUGUUCAAGUACCUAAGGAGCAACUUCCAUAAUGCAAGAUGGCCAUAACCGAUAGGCUACGGAUAGGCGGUGGCAAGUUGUUCCAGAUUUUGCUCGCGGAGUACCGGAAACUGCCUCGAAAACUAGCGGAGCUGUGCUUAUGCUGUUUGAGCAUGUAUGUGGUCGCCCUGGUACCAUACGAGGUGUUUUCGUCUCUCGCCUUCUUACACAACUGUUGCUUAUUCAUCUGGUCCUUCCUCGAUGUCUUCAGUUCCGAGAUA